UACGUAGGGCGCAAGCGUUAUCCGGAAUUAUUGGGCGUAAAGAGCUCGUAGGCGGUUUGUCGCGUCUGCCGUGAAAGUCCGGGGCUCAACUCCGGAUCUGCGGUGGGUACGGGCAGACUAGAGUGCAGUAGGGGAGACUGGAAUUCCUGGUGUAGCGGUGAAAUGCGCAGAUAUCAGGAGGAACACCUGUGGCGAAGGCAGGUCUCUGGGCAUUAACUGACGCUGAGGAGCGAAAGCAUGGGGAGCGAACAGG
rnacentral:rRNA from 1 species